AUAUAAAAAGGACAACACUCGCUCAUUCUUCACCCAAACAUUAAAUACGCCACUGACUCGAAUUUGUGGGACACAUCUCCUGUUGUUUGACAAAUGUUUGCAGAUAAGUUUACUUUAAUUUUUAUGUUUCAUUAAUUUUUGCGGGAAUUGAUUUUUAAAUAAAAAAAAGUUGUUCCACGAGUAUCUACAGCUUCGUAACUUUAAAUAAAUUUAUUUAAUUUCAAAUGAAACAAGUUUCACUCAAUUUCUUAAAUCUCGUGAACUUGGAUUUCGAUAUAUUGAUUUAUGAAUGCCCGAAAUUUUGAUUUUAUACUAUUAAAUUUUUGGUUAGAUUAUUUAGAACUAAGGCAUAAUGCUAGUUCCAAAUGUCUCACUCUUGUCAUUAUUUUAACACCACGUUUUUACAGCUUAAUAAUUGUAAAACUGAUUUAAGUAUAGUUUUAGAUGCUUAUAAAAUGUUUUGUUGUAUGAAAAGAUAAAAUUACUUUAUAAUUAAGAAACUUAACUAUUACGAUGUGUUUAUGCGCAUAGCAUUUCAAAACAUUUCUAAGAAAUGAUUACGCAUACAUUGAUACAGAAUGAACUGUUAAUUUACAUAUAAUAUACAAUUUGUUUAACUAUGCUCUUGACAGCUGAAAAAAUUUGAAUCAUAAGAAACAAUACAAAGUGAUUUUCUGGCCAUAGAAAAUGAAACGUAUUUAGACCAUUAUGUUAUAAAAGCAACUUACACGAAUCAAAAAAUCUGCUAGGUUUCCUUAGUUUUAUGAUUUGUUAAAUGUUUCAUUCAAGAUAGAUAAUUUGAAAAGCUCCUACGAAAGUUUUAAAAAGAAUUUCUAAGGUGUUUAAGGAGAACUUUAUUAAAUUUUGUUCAAUGGUAAAGUAGAUAAAAUUACUCUCCAAUGCUAGGUAAUGGCUCAGUUUGAUCACCCUCUUGGUUGCUAGAUUUAAUCUUCAAACGAAAAUUUCAUUGAACUUGGUAGUUUUUUUUUCGUAUGUUGUAAAAUAAAUCUUGAAUUUAAAAACAAUCUGCUUGAUAAAAUAUUCUGUUAGCAGAUAAAUUUUUCUUCUGUCUUUCAACCAAAAUAGUUUAGUUCGCUGGCUACAGUAAAUCUGUACAUUGCUUACAAUAAUAUUUCAAACUGAAAAUUUCAUUUUAAAGAAAAAUAUCACUUUGACUGCAUUCAUUCACUAAUAUAAGUGGUUCACGAACCAGUAAUUAUAGUUUAUGUUUAAUUGCAGCUUGACCAUUGCGGAGCGGAGAAUUUCGCAGUUUGGAAGGAACUAUCAACCUUUUCUUGAUUAACAGACUCAAGCAGAAAUGAAUUCUGACUGUAAGGACAUCGCAUCAAGAUUUAUACAUCACUUCUAUUGGAAUCUUCACCUAUGCUUUACUUCGUGAAAUUGAGCCUCUGAUGCAAAGAGAAAAAUCUUCUACUAGAAUCUGCACAAAAUGGUUUACUACAUGAAAAUGAAUAGCAGAUGAAACGAGUUGAAUAAGGACUCUAUACAGGUCAAGAACUCGUUAUAUUUUGUGGAAUUGUUUUAGUUUGUACACUUCAUAUUAAUUGCCUACACAUUGUAUUAGACUGAUCCAGAUAUUUAAGAUCUUUAAUGUUACUUUCCUUUUUUUUUAAGUCUUUCCUUACUCGAAUUUUUAACUCUAAGUAAGAUGUUGAAUGUUUUAUGUAGUCAUCUAGAAAAUUGUAAGAUUUUAACUCUUAGAUAUUUUACUGUCUAUUUCAAGUUAUCAUUCAGAUUAGUCUGAUUGGAAACAUUGGGCGAUCACUUAGUUUUUGGAAAUUCUUACCUAACUGUUAAUUUUGCCCAACUUAUCUAAAUUUAGAUUAACUCAAUAAUUAGGAGCAACUAGUAUUCUUAUUGUAAGAAAGUGUUUAAAAUUUAGCUCUUUCAAACUAAACACAUUCGGUGUAAUUCUUCAUAAGCGUGUUUUUAAAGAGAUUUAACUUUAAGAUAAGGGAGAUAUUCUGGAAACUAAUUUCUAAAUUUUUGCCUGGUUCCAUUUUUAUUAACUUUUUGUAUUACGUUUUUGCAAAACGUAUACAAAAUUCAGUAUAGUUAAGUAAUUUUUGAAGUUGUGUAAGAUAUAAACAUUUAAACUAGUUCUUUAGUGAUAAACAAUUGAACGGAAAACAGAUUUUCUUAAUGUAGUGAAUGUUAUUUAAUAACUAACGAAAUUUAAGAUUGUAAUCUGACUUUUCGUUUCAAACAAUUUUCUAAGAAUAAAAUCUGAAAUAAAACUGGUUAAAAUCUCUCUUGAAAAUUGUAUUUAAUAAUUCGCAAGUAUCUGAUUUUGAGUAUUUCAAACAAAGCUCUUAUAAUCACAUCGUUUGAUUCGAAAUUUGUAGAGAAAUCUCUAAUUAAACAGUUACAGGGUAUUGAUAAAAAUACAAUUUGUUUACUUUCAUGUUAAACUUGAUUUUUAGUUAUGAAAAAUGAAUGGACUUUGUUAAUUUAGCAGUAAACCAUUUUUUUAAGUCCCUCCUAGCGCAGAAGGGAUGGAGACUAUACGAAUGGAGAAACCUAAAUACGAUUUUUGUUUCAAAUUUAAUUAGAUAAUUAAACAUUUUUAAUAAUCUAUAUACUUGCAAUAAAAUAAGUUAAUAAAAGCAAUUCUAAUAUAAGCACUUAAGGGUUCUUCGUGUUUUGAUUGAGUUUAAGUCCAAUGAUUUUAUAGUGUUGUGGUGUAAUUACAGUUGAAAGUAAAAUUUAAUAAAACAAAUUGUCAACAAAAUGCGCACUUGGCUCAGGAAUUUUCAACGCAAUUUUAAACUGAAAUAAAAAAAUUAUUUUAGCAAGUAGCUAAUUUUGUCAAGGUAGUGCGCUAUUCAGUCUACUCAAAGUACUUAACGUAAAUUGAAGAUAAAUUUUAAGUCUAUGACAAAUUUAUGAGUUUUAAUGAUACUUAUUCGCUGCUGGAGUAGCAAAAUAAUGACUAACUGUUCAGUUCAAACAGAAUAAUGACUAACUAUUCAGUAAUCACGUAACACACCUUAACAUUAACCAUAACACUAAUUCGCUGCUUCAGUGGUAGAAUAAGUAUAAGAGUAAACUCCUUUUUUGAAUAAAAGUAAAAUUAUGAUUGCGAUUGGGCUCAAUAGAAACUGUGUUGAAAAGUUAAUAAAUUAACCGGGCAAUUUUAUUUAAAAACAAUCUUAAUGACGAAAUUUUUGUAGGAAUUUUGUUACAAAAGUCACAGUGAGUUCUUCAAAGUAAAAACUAAUUUACUAAUGACUAUGAAAAGGAUCUUUUAGUUGCAAUUGUCGUAAACUGAAAAUAUCUUACAAAUUGCGUUUAUUACAUUUGAGAGCACUUACAGCAAACUUCAUUCAAACCGUAAGCCUAAAUUCCAUUUUACAGAGAAUCAGAUUGGCAUUUUGUUCUAGCCCUACUUUAAUGUUAAAAACGAAACUAGUAGAAAAUUAAGCUAAUGAAAUUUUAUAUGUAGAAGAAUUAUUUUUUUAUAUUUGAAAAAUUACUUUAAAUAGAAAGUAAGUAUAAAGAUGUUUUAAAUCUCUUGUAUUUCAAUGUCUUGUAUUUGCUUGAAACAUUUUAAAACUUUAGUAAUGCAAAAGUUGCUAAAUUAACGUAUCGCCUUGCGUUUGUAGUCCUGCACAUCUCAUAAUACGAGCUUUCGUGCCAUACAAAACUAUUCGUAACUAAAGAAAAACUACAGCGUAUAUGCGAAAUAUUUUUAAUUCAAAAAAUUAAAUAAAAUACAAUCAUAAACAUUAAUCUUAUACAAUUUCCAGUUCAAGAAGUUUUAACUAGAGUAGGCGAACUUUCUUAUAAAAUCAAAAGCAUUAAAGUGAAAUAUCGUGAACAUUUAAAUUUUCAGAAAUUAUUAGUUCAGGAAAUUAAAUUAAACAUAUCAAAACUACUUUAAUAGAAAUCUGCAUGCCUGAAGUGUUUUAUAGGUAUAAUGGGUCAACAGUUGCUGUUUUGUAAGAGGUCUGACUCUAAAGUACAUAAUACAAUAAUUCAUAGUUUGGUUUAGAAAAUUAAGAAUUAAAGUUUUAAGGGAAAAAUAAAGAUUUAAUCUUUUGCGUCAAUAUUACUUUUAAGCACGAAUUUUGGCAGCGACAGUUCAAAGAUUUUUAAAUUUCAAUCUUAAGCUAUUGAGUCUUUUCUAAUUUUUUUCAGAAGAGCUUUUUAACCUAUCCUUCGAAACCAGACUAUAGCUGAACAGAGAAUUUCACAGCAUGAAAGGGACUAUCAACAGUUUCUUGAUUAACAGACUCAACCAGAAAUUAAUUCUGUCAUCAAGGACACCGCAUCAAGAAUUAGCCACUUCUAUUGGAAUCUUCACCUAUGCUUUACUUCGUGAAAUUGAGCCUCUGAUGCAAAGAGAAAAAUCUUCUACUAGAAUCUGCACAAAAUGGUUUACUACAUGAAAAUGAAUAGCAGAUGAAACGAGUUGAAUAAGGACUCUAUACAGGUCAUGAACUCUUUAUAUUUUGUGAAAUUGUUUUAGUUUGUUCACUUCACAUUAAUUGCCCACACAUUGUACUAGACUGAUACAGAUAUUUAAGAUCUUUGUUACUUUCCUUUUUUUUAAAUGGAUAGUCUAGAGAAUUUUUUUUAAAACAUUAGGAUGUAAUUAAAAACAUUUACUUUAAAUUUUGGCUGUAAUAUUCCUAUAUUAUGAAUGCCAAAGAGCAGAUUUUUAUGAAUUUUAAUUUUCUAUUCAUUCUUUAAACCUUCAUGGCCAACUCUUUAUUAUGUACAACAUUCAAAUAAAUAUUGGUUAAAGCAAAUACUGUUCGAUGCAAAAAUUAUUUUAACAAAAAUAUCGGUCAUGUAGAUAAAAUCUCCAGAUACGUUGAUUUCCUCACCACCGAAUAUCGAAACUAGCGAAAAAUUCUUUCCUUAGCCAAAAUUUCAAUUCUAAUUAAGAUGUUGUGGGACGUUUUAUGUAGUUAUCAGGAAAAUUGUAAGAUUUUAACUUAGAUAUUUUACUGUCUAUUUCAAGUUAUCAUUUAGGCUAGUAUGAUUGGAAACAUCGGGCGAUCAUUUAGUCUUUGGAAAGUCUUACCUAAGCGUUAAUUUUGCCCAACUUAUCUGAAUUUAGAUUGACUCAAUAAUUAGAAGCAACUAGCAUUUUUAUUGCGAAAAAGUAUUUUUUUAAAAUUCAGUGCUUUCAAACUAAAUGCAUCGAAUGCAACUUUUUAUUAGCGUGUUUUUAAAAGCUAUUCCAAUGUAAGAUAAAAAGUGUGCUAUUCCAAAAAAAGAAUCUAUGAAUAAUUAAAUAUAAAGUUUCGAGCAAUUUUCUAAGUAUUUUUGGUUGUAAGAUUUUGGUAUUUUUCUCGAUGCACAAAACAGACUAAGAAUACCUUUAAAGUUCUACUUAAUUCAGAAACUGAACUUAAAACCACAUCGUUAAAUACAAAAUUUAUAGAACUACAAAAGGGCAUUGAUAAAAAUAAAAUUUGUUUACUUUAAAAUUGAACUAUAUUUUUUGUCAUUAAAAAGAAAUGGAGUUAAUUAUAAUUUUUUCCUCUUAAGCUAAUUCCCCGCCUAGUAAUGUAAAAACCUAAAUACAAUUUUUACUUUUAAAUUUAAUUAUAAAAUUAAGCAUUUUUAAUAGUCUACAUACUUUAGGAAGAGUUAAUAUAAAAAAAUUCUAAAAUAAGUACUUCUAGGCAAUUAGUCUUUGAUUUAGCUUAAAUCCAAGGAUUUUAUAGUAUUGUGGUGUAAUUGCAGUUUAAAGUGAAAAUUAAUAAGAUAAAUUUCCAACAAAAUGCGUUCUUGUCUCUGUUAUUUUAAACUAAAAUAAAAAAAUUAUUUUAGCAAGUAGCUAAUUUUGUAGAGGUAAUAAGCUACUCAGUCCAGUCAAAUUACUCAUGGUAAAUAAAAGAUAAAUUGCAUUUUGUCUAUGACAAAUUUAUGACUUUUAAUGAUCCUUAUUCGCUGCUGAAGUAGCAAAAUAAUGACUAACUGUUCAAUAAUCACGUAACAUAUCUUAACAUUAA